rnacentral:rRNA from 1 species
UACGUAGGGACCAAGCGUUGUUCGGAUUUACUGGGCGUAAAGGGCGCGUAGGCGGCGUGGCAAGUCACUUGUGAAAUCUCCGGGCUUAACUCGGAACGGCCAAGUGAAACUGCCAUGCUAGAGUGCAGAAGGGGCAAUCGGAAUUCUUGGUGUAGCGGUGAAAUGCGUAGAUAUCAAGAGGAACACCUGAGGUGAAGACGGGUUGCUGGGCUGACACUGACGCUGAGGUGCGAAAGCGUGGGGAGCAAACAGG